UAUAAGUAUAAACGCUCUAAGCGUGAAACCGCGAACGGCUCAUUACAACAGCUAUAAUUUACUUGAUCUUGACAAACUUACAUGGAUAACUGAGGUAAUUCUUGAGCUAAUACAUGCACCAAAGCUUUGACCGUAAGGGAAGAGCGCAUUUAUUAGAACAAAACCAAACGGCUUCGGCUGUUCCCAGUUGAAUCAGAAUAACUCAGCUGAUCGUACGGUCUUGCACCGACGACGUGUCUUUCAAGUAUCUGCUUUAUCAACUUUCGAUGGUAGGGUAUCUGCCUACCAUGGUGGUGACGGAUAACGGAGGAUCAGGGUUCGACUCCGGAGAAGGGGCCUGAGAAAUGGCCACUACGUCUAAGGAUGGCAGCAGGCGCGCAAAUUACCCACUCUCAGAAUUUGGAGGAGGUAGUGACGAGAAAUAACGAGGCUAACUUCUUUCGAGGCUAGCCAUCGGAAUGGGUACAAUUUAAACCCUUUAACGAGUAUCUAUGAGAGGGCAAGUCUGGUGCCAG
rnacentral:rRNA from 1 species